AUUAUCUCUUCUCGGUUAAGUCUAGGAGAGCCACUCUGGGAGAUGAAAGGAACUUCAGAUGUUAUUUCUUCUUCUGGUUGUUUAUCAGCUAGAAACACCAUAAACAGAAACAAAUAAUUUAUCCUUUUGGAUCAUUUUGGCUGGCGUGGUCUAGAAGAGGAGCCUUUUCUGCUGUGCCUCCUGCCCUCUGGAACAUCAUGCCCCUGCCCCAAAGUGGGAUCUGCACCCACCCGUCUGACCUUCCAAAAGUCCUUGAAAACAUGGCUAUGCCAAUUAGUCUGGGGCCCCAAUUGGUGUGUGACACUUUGAGGAGGCUAAUGGAAUAGAUAACACCCCACCUCUUUCCCGUGCACACUUUGCUCCCUCCCUCUCCAUCCUGUAUGUGAAGCCUCUGGAGAAGACUCUGAUGCUGGAAAAGAUGGAAAGAAAGAGGAUGACCAGCAGUAAGGUGGAAGAGCUUAACUGCAGUAGUGAUAUGUGCACUGUUGGAAGAUCAGAAGGACCUACAAAAAAUCUAUCUGUGGUGACUCCACAUCAACUCCAACCUGAUGGCCCAUAAUCAAUCAAUAAAAAGCCAGUGGGAAAAAUGUGAGCACUGUGUUGUGGAGUUUCUUAGGGCUUAAGACUCUCUCCCUUGCUAUUUAAAAAUCUAUACGAAAUCACUGUUGAGUGAUUUCAUCCAUCAGUUUGAGGUGAGACAACAUAAAUUUGCUAAUGCUACUCUGUUGUAUACUGCCAGCCUGAACUUUUUUUGGGGGGCGGGGCAGAUAAAAGAGAAUGAGACUGACUGAAAUUGCAGUUCUGGGAAGCAAGGAUUGGCAUGCUCUUAUUUCUACCCAGCUGGGUUACUACAGUUCACUCUAGUUACAGUUCUCUUUCAAAUCUGGAAAUUGCUAUUGGUUCAAAAUGCAGCAGCCCACGGGUUAAUGACUCUUUGUGCCACAACCACAUAGCAUUUCUUUUUGGGUUAUCUCACUGAUUGCCAGUAAUUAUCCAAGUACAAUUCACAGCAUUACCCAGUAUUACAAUGUUCAAUUGCAGUCCCUACAUUCUGGAAUGGACAGAUGCCUGAAGUGGGAGGGCAAGUUAUUCUUAUUCUAAGGAACAAAAGAAUUCAAUAAAACAAAAUAAUGAUCAAAUGUGAAUACUGAUGCUAUGGAGAUAAAAAAAAAAACAAGCUGAAAUGUUUAGUGUUAUGUACUGCAGAUUACCCAGAUGGAAGGACUUAAACUGGAAUAAUAGGGAACCACCAUUUCUGGAGCAGGUGCUCCAAGUGCUCCAACUGCAGGCUGACCUUGAAAUAUAGGAGGUAUGAGGAUCCUUGCUAUGGAAAGAAUUCAUCAGGGUACUUGAAACAACAACAAGGUUACAAGGAUGUGAUAAAUGUGAAUCAGAGACUAUAAUGGAGAAGCAAUAUGCAAUUUAUUAAUACAGUUAGUAAUUUAUUAUACCAGGAAAGCUUUUUUGCAACAAUUCAAUAAACAUGAACUAAAAACCCUAUAUAACAAGGUUUAGAUAAUUGGAUCCCGA